rnacentral:rRNA from 1 species
AACCAGCUCUUCAAGUGGUCGGGAUGAUUAUUGGGCUUAAAGUGUCCGUAGCCGGUUUAGUAAGUUCCUGGUAAAAUCAGGUAGCUUAACUAUCUGUAUGCUAGGAAUACUACUAUACUAGAGGGCGGGAGAGGUCUGAGGUACUACAGGGGUAGGGGUGAAAUCUUAUAAUCCUUGUAGGACCACCAGUGGCGAAGGCGUCAGACUGGAACGUGCCUGACGGUGAGGGACGAAAGCCAGGGGGGCGAACCGGAUUAGAUACCCGGGUAGUCCUGGCCGUAAACGAUGCAUACUAGGUGAUGGCCCGGCCAUGAGCCGUGUCAGUGCCGUAGGGAAACCGUUAAGUGUGCCGCCUGGGAAGUACGGUCGCAAGGCUAAAACUUAAAGGAAUUGGCGGGGAGCACCACAAGGGGUGAAGCCUGCGGUUC